GACGAACGCUGGCGGCGUGCUUAACACAUGCAAGUCGAACGGAAAGGCCCACCACUUUUUGGUGGUGGGUACUCGAGUGGCGAACGGGUGAGUAACACGUGGGUGAUCUGCCCCGCACUGCGGGAUAAGCCUGGGAAACUGGGUCUAAUACCACAUACGACCAUGGCGUAGGGGUCAUGGUGGAAAGCCUUGUGCGGUGUGGGAUGAGCCCGCGGCCUAUCAGCUUGUUGGUGGGGUAAUGGCCUACCAAGGCGGCGACGGGUAGCCGGCCUGAGAGGGUGGACGGCCACAUUGGGACUGAGACACGGCCCAGACUCCUACGGGAGGCAGCAGUGGGGAAUAUUGCACAAUGGGCGCAAGCCUGAUGCAGCGACGCCGCGUGGGGGAUGACGGCCUUCGGGUUGUAAACUCCUUUCGCCCGGGACGAAG
rnacentral:rRNA from 1 species